rnacentral:rRNA from 1 species
AGAGUUUGAUCAUGGCUCAGGAUGAACGCUAGCUACAGGCUUAACACAUGCAAGUCGAGGGGAAACGACAUCGAAAGCUUGCUUUUGAUGGGCGUCGACCGGCGCACGGGUGAGUAACGCGUAUCCAACCUGCCCACCACUUGGGGAUAACCUUGCGAAAGUAAGACUAAUACCCAAUGACGUCUCUAGAAGACAUCUGAAAGAGAUUAAAGAUUUAUCGGUGAUGGAUGGGGAUGCGUCUGAUUAGCUUGUUGGCGGGGUAACGGCCACCAAGGCUACGAUCAGUAGGGGUUCUGAGAGGAAGGUCCCCANAUUGGAACUGAGACACGGUCCAAACUCGUUACGGAGGCA